AACAUUGAAGCUCUUGCAAACUUUAUUCACAAACUGCAACUAUCUGACACAAAUCUGCGACUGACAGCAAGCACAGAAACUUCAAACAAGUCCCUGAAAGAAACCAAAUCCUGCGUCUUUGCCUUGACAGACGCCUAAAAUGGCUCGAGCUGUGACAAAGGAGAAGCACCCAGACUCAUCCAACGAAGACCGCUGUGCUCUGGAGAGUGAAUUUCCCUCUUACAUGUUUAGACCUAUCAGCGCACCUGCAUGUGAGGUCCCAAGUCCU